AAAUAGUGUGAAGACAUUGGUAUGGCAUACAAGUGAGAUGUAGGAGUACAGCUCAUUGAACGUGACCAACUACUGGACACUCUACUGUCAAGAAUAGCUCACGAAGGAUAUGGGUAUAAGUAUCUCUCCUACCUAAGAACACCAUGGUGACUUACAAGCAACUCACUAUGUUUUGGUGUCAGACUAUCUGAAUUUUUAAUUCAGUGACAGA
rnacentral:lncRNA from 1 species